rnacentral:rRNA from 1 species
GCAUGUUCACAUGAUUAAAGGUAUUCCGGUAGACGAUGGGGAUGCGUUCCAUUAGAUAGUAGGCGGGGUAACGGCCCACCUAGUCUUCGAUGGAUAGGGGUUCUGAGAGGAAGGUCCCCCACAUUGGAACUGAGACACGGUCCAAACUCCUACGGGAGGCAGCAGUGAGGAAUAUUGGUCAAUGGGCGAGAGCCUGAACCAGCCAAGUAGCGUGAAGGAUGACUGCCCUAUGGGUUGUAAACUUCUUUUAUAAAGGAAUAAAGUCGGGUAUGCAUACCUGUUUGCAUGUACUUUAUGAAUAAGGAUCGGCUAACUCCGUGCCAGCAGCCGCGGUAAUACGGAGGAUCCGAGCGUUAUCCGGAUUUAUUGGGUUUAAAGGGAGCGUAGAUGGAUGUUUAAGUCAGUUGUGAAAGUUUGCGGCUCAACCGUAAAAUUGCAGUUGAUACUGGAUAUCUUGAGUGCAGUUGAGGCAGGCGGAAUUCGUGGUGUAGCGGUGAAAUGCUUAGAUAUCACGAAGAACUCCGAUUGCGAAGGCAGCCUGCUAAGCUGCAACUGACAUUGAGGCUCGAAAGUGUGGGUAUCAAACAGGAUUAGAUACCCUGGUAGUCCACACGGUAAACGAUGAAUACUCGCUGUUUGCGAUAUACAGCAAGCGGC